rnacentral:rRNA from 1 species
UACAGAGGGUGCAAGCGUUGUUCGGAAUUAUUGGGCGUAAAGCGCGUGUAGGCGGCUUUGCAAGUCGGGUGUGAAAUCCCUCAGCUCAACUGAGGAAGUGCGCCCGAAACUGCAUGGCUCGAGUACCGGAGAGGAUGGUGGAAUUCCCCAAGUAGAGGUGAAAUUCGUAGAUAUGGGGAGGAACACCGGUGGCGAAGGCGACCAUCUGGACGGAUACUGACGCUGAGACGCGAAAAGCUAGGGGAGCGAACAGG